AGUGAACGCUGGCGGUAGGCCUAACACAUGCAAGUCGAACGGCAGCACAGUAAUAGCUUGCUCUUACGGGUGGCGAGUGGCGGACGGGUGAGGAAUACAUCGGAAUCUACUUUUUCGUGGGGGAUAACGUAGGGAAACUUACGCUAAUACCGCAUACGACCUACGGGUGAAAGCAGGGGAUCUUCGGACCUUGCGCGAUUGAAUGAGCCGAUGUCGGAUUAGCUAGUUGGCGGGGUAAAGGCCCACCAAGGCGACGAUCCGUAGCUGGUCUGAGAGGAUGAUCAGCCACACUGGAACUGAGACACGGUCCAGACUCCUACGGGAGGCAGCAGUGGGGAAUAUUGGACAAUGGGCGCAAGCCUGAUCCAGCCAUACCGCGUGGGUGAUGAAGGCCUUCGGGUUGUAAAGCCCUUUUGUUGGGAAAGAAAAGCAGCAGGUUAAUACCCCGCUGUGCUGACGGUACCCAAAGAAUAAGCACCGGCUAACUUCGUG
rnacentral:rRNA from 1 species